rnacentral:rRNA from 1 species
UGAGGAAUAUUGGUCAAUGGGCGCAAGCCUGAACCAGCCAUCCCGCGUGAAGGAAGAAGGCGCUAUGCGUUGUAAACUUCUUUUCCAGGGGGCGAACGUUCCGUACGUGUACGGGAGUGACGGUACCCUGGGAAUAAGCAUCGGCUAACUCCGUGCCAGCAGCCGCGGUAAUACGGAGGUUGCGAGCGUUAUCCGGAUUUAUUGGGUUUAAAGGGUGCGUAGGCGGAUUAAUAAGUCAGUGGUGAAAGCCUGCAGCUUAACUGGGGAACUGCCGUUGAUACUGUUAGUCUUGAGUAUGGUCGAGGUAGGCGGAAUGUGUAGUGUAGCGGUGAAAUGCUUAGAUAUUACGCAGAACACCGAUUGCGAAGGCAGCUUACUGGGCCGUUACUGACGCUGAUGCACGAAAGCGUGGGGAUCGAACA